GCCAGCAUAGCAUAGUGGUUCAAGUGUUAGACUAUGACUCUGGAGAUCAAGGUGCAAUUCCCUCUGGGUGACU